rnacentral:rRNA from 1 species
CCUACGGGUGGCUGCAGUGAGGAAUAUUGGUCAAUGGGCGCGAGCCUGAACCAGCCAAGUAGCGUGAAGGAUGACUGCCCUAUGGGUUGUAAACUUCUUUUAUAAAGGAAUAAAACGAGGCACGUGUGCCUUUUUGCAUGUACUUUAUGAAUAAGGAUCGGCUAACUCCGUGCCAGCAGCCGCGGUAAUACGGAGGAUCCGAGCGUUAUCCGGAUUUAUUGGGUUUAAAGGGAGCGUAGAUGGGUUGUUAAGUCAGUUGUGAAAGUUUGCGGCUCAACCCCGCUCCGCCGUUGAAACUGUGGCCCUUGAGUGCGCGAUGGGUAGGCGGAAUGCGUGGUGUAGCGGUGAAAUGCAUAGAUAUCACGCAGAACUCCGAUCGCGAAGGCAGCCUACCGGCGCGCAACUGACGCUCAUGCACGAAAGCGUGGGUAUCGAACAGGAUUAGAUACCCUGGUAGUC